GUAGUUGUGGUUGAGUGGUUAAGGCGAAGGACUAGAAAUCAAUUGGUGUUUCCCCAUGCAGGUUUGAAUCCUGGUGACUACG
rnacentral:tRNA from 1 species